AAGUCGUAACAAGGUUUCCGUAGGUGAACCUGCGGAAGGAUCAUUACUUGUAGCUUAUAGUCCCACAAGGAUUAUAACGAUACAACCAAACACCAAUCUGUGCUCUUUCUUUCACACAACCCACUCAUGUUGCUAUGGUCUGUCAUGCUACCACAUGGCACCCCAUACCACAUUCUUACCUUUCCAUAAUACCAACUGAAAUAUUGUGUGUUGGAUCCCCGGUUUAUACCCGUGGGUUUCCACUCACAUCUGUACUGUCUAUUGCUUUCCAUGGGUUUAGUAUAUACUGUACCCUGGUGAGUGAUGGGAGUACUUGUUGAAUUUUGGGAUGGCUGGGUGGCAUGGGCAUGCAUUCAUCUGCUCGCCCGUGCUACUAUUGCCAUUCUAUUGCAAACAACUCCGAACAAUGGAUAUCUCGGCUCUC
rnacentral:misc_RNA from 1 species